rnacentral:tRNA from 5 species
GGAAAGUUGUCCGAGUGGUCGAUGGUGCACGCUUGGAAAGCGUGUGUGCGUUAAUAGCGUACCGGGGGUUCAAAUCCCCCACUUUCCG